rnacentral:pre_miRNA from 1 species
UUUUUAGCGUAAGUCAGUCCCAUGCAACAUUUGGGACAUACUUAUACUAAAA